rnacentral:rRNA from 1 species
UACGGAGGGGACUAGCGUUGUUCGGAAUGACUGGACGUAAAGAGCGCGUAGGCGGAUCAGAAAGUUGGGGGUGAAAUCACGGGGCUAAACCUCGGAAUGGCCUUCAAAACUCCUGGUCUUGAGUUCGAGAGAGGUGAGUGGAAUUCCGAGUGUAGAGGUGAAAUUCGUAGAUAUUCGGAGGAACACCAGUGGCGAAGGCGGCUCACUGGCUCGACACUGACGCUGAGGUGCGAAAGCGUGGGGAGCAAACAGG